GCCUGUUUUUUGAUUGAAUCAUUUUGACACAAACGUCCCGCAGUGGGCGGAGCUUCUCCAUUGGUCGGGCAUGUUUGAGUGACAGGUGUCCACACCAAUGAGAAUCUCUCCAGAAGAAGCUGGAAGCUGGAAGCUAGCUGCUGGUGUGUGCGGGGAAGUCCGUUUCUAUUUGCAGCUGUCGUCACGCUGUUGCAUUGUGGGAUUGUUCAGGUCUCGCUUGCGAGCUGCUUUCUGUGAUCCACGUUUCUGAGUGCGGCAGUAUUUCUUCAAAACGGGAAGAUCCUGAUGCGUGAAAGGCGGCCACCAUCGGUCACGUCGAUGGAAUGGGAGCAGGACAGACGACAAUCUACGUUUUUUCCAGUUUCCCAAGUGGAAAAGAAGUUACGGAGAGCAGACUGAGGAAGAGGCGUCGGAUGGCGGGUCGCAGCAGCGACAUGGAAGAAGAGCAUCACUUUCGACUCUAUAUUCUGACAACAUGCUGGUUUGCUCUCGCCAUUUUCAUAAAGGUCAACCAGCCGAUGAACUGAUGGAGACUGAUCCAGACUGGACACCUUCCCGACAUCUGGACACACAUCGGUCACUCUGACCAAUGAGGCGCUCUGCAAGGCGACGUUGGUGGGAGCAGCUACAGAAAGUGUGACCAGAAGCACCAGAGACGGGAGUCCACCGGGAUGCAGAGACUGGAGAGCUGCAGACCGAGGAGGGGACGGCGGAGCCUGGACAGAAUCACCAGAGUGAGGACUGACACCUGAUGCUGAGGAAGACAUCAGUCAGCUGGUCACAGAAGACGACACACACACACACACACACACACACACACACACACACACACACACACACACACACACACACACACACACACACACACACACAGCAGUCAGGAUGCUACACAGACUGACUGUGACCUCUGUGAGUUGUUGUUGUGACGUGUGCGGAGGUGAAACUACCAGCAUUAAAGGCUGCUGUCAGUCAGCAGCCAGAGAUGUGGAGGAAACCAGGAAAAUGGCACAUUUGAGGAUUCAUGCUGAAAGAGUCACUGGAAAUACCUGUCAGGAAUAUAGAAUCUUGUCAGGGACCAAACCAGACACAGGAUUCUUCCAUGUGGAGGAGAAGAAGUCACACUGCUGGAUAAGAUUGUAAAUGUGAGCUGUGUCCUGACAAACCACCGCCCAUCAGCAGUGUAGUGACCUGGACAGUGAGCGAAGACCGGAUGGAAUAUAUCUGUUUGUAGUUAGACCAGUAAAGGCCCUGAAGUUUUUUUUCUCAAUAUUUGUGGAAGAGCAUGUUUUUGUUUCUGACAUACAGUAAUAAAGCUCAUCAUUGACA